GGAGGUUAGUGCAAUGGCAUAAGCCAGCUUGACUGCGAGCGUGACGGCGCGAGCAGGUGCGAAAGCAGGUCAUAGUGAUCCGGUGGUUCUGAAUGGAAGGGCCAUCGCUCAACGGAUAAAAGGUACUCCGGGGAUAACAGGCUGAUACCGCCCAAGAGUUCAUAUCGACGGCGGUGUUUGGCACCUCGAUGUCGGCUCAUCACAUCCUGGGGCUGAAGUAGGUCCCAAGGGUAUGGCUGUUCGCCAUUUAAAGUGGUACGCGAGCUGGGUUUAGAACGUCGUGAGACAGUUCGGUCCCUAUCUGCCGUGGGCGCUGGAGAACUGAGGGGGGCUGCUCCUAGUACGAGAGGACCGGAGUGGACGCAUCACUGGUGUUCGGGUUGUCAUGCCAAUGGCACUGCCCGGUAGCUAAAUGCGGAAGAGAUAAGUGCUGAAAGCAUCUAAGCACGAAACUUGCCCCGAGAUGAGUUCUCCCUGACCCUUUAAGGGUCCUGAAGGAACGUUGAAGAC
rnacentral:rRNA from 1 species